rnacentral:lncRNA from 1 species
CUGCACCUGUGGCAUAUGGAGGCUCCCAGGCGAGGGAUCCAAUCAGAGCUAUAGCUGCCAGACUACACCACAGCCACAGCAACACAGGAUCCGAGCUGUGUCUGUGACCUAUACCACAGGUCACAGCAAGGUGAGCUCCUUAACCCACUGAGCGAAGCCAGGGAUAGAACCCACAACCUUAUGGUUCUUAGUCAGAUUCGUUUCUGCUGUACCAUGACGGGAACUCCCCGAUUUUAGGUUUUCAGUAGAGAUAAAAUACUGGGUGAGAAGGGUAACUACAGGAAGCCCUGAUCAGCACCAAACUGAUGAUUGUUCUGCGCUACCCUGGCUUGUUAGCACUCCAACUUUGAGUAUGGGGCCUAUACUCAAAUCAAAAAAAGAAAUGGCAGAGUAUCUGGGAGAGAAGUAAGGGGACAUGUUCUCGUGCCUAGCCUGGACCAAGGGCUCCCGUCCUAAACCUGAUGCUGAUUGCUACCAGGACGAGGCAAAGGAGCCUGGAGUCCUGCAAGUCUUAUGGGAAAGACGACCUGAGUGGAUCUUGUCUUCAACAAGAUGCUUUAACCACCCAAAUAAAGAAUGAGUGGCCAUCAGUUAGAGGAAGAGGCUUAGAAAGGUCCCAGACCUGAAUUACAGCUUUGGCUCAGCUCUAAACACAUCACUUGCCUUUUUAGAUCUCAGUUUUCUCACAGAUAAAAUGGGAGGCAGGGAGGUGAUACCUAGUAUGAUUUCUGAAAUCUGAUAUGCACCACAUAUCAACACUAAGGUUUCUAGGCUUAGUACUUGGAACAAGAUAUUAUCCAAACUAUUGCGAGAAAAAAACUGAGCCUCCUCAGAAGGGUGGUUUCUGAUUCUCUAGAGUUCUUUUUAGAGACCAUUUAUGGAUGUAUUUUCCUAUGGCAUGAAAGCAUGUGUAAAAGAAUAGACUUUGGGUCAGACAGACAGACCUGAGUAAUACAGGCUUCAAUUACUAUCUUCCACCUUAUGUGACCCAGAGCAGGCCACUUAAAUGUAUAGAACCUUUAUUUCACCAUUUUUAAUAUGGGCCUAAUAACCGACACUCUUUAAGAGUUGAUGUAUUUAGAAAGGAGUACCCACUGUGGCACAGUGGGUUAAGAAUCCAACUGCAGCAAUUUGGGUCUCUGUGGAAGCAUAGGUUCAAUUCCUGGCCCAGUACAGUAGGUUAAAAGGAUUUGGCAUUGUCAGCGCUGCUUCAUAGGUUGUGGCUGUGACUCAGGUUCAAUCUCUGGCCUGGGAACUUCCAUAUGCCCUGGGUGCAGCCACAAAAUUUAAGAAAGAAAGAAAGAAGAAACAUGUGGCACAAGGCCCAACAGAGAUAUCAGUAAACAGCAGUUAUAUUAUCGAAAUUACCUAUGUGAUAAUAUUAAUAUGCCAGGCAUUGUUCCUAAACUGAAAUAACAAAUGUAUCAUGUGUGUAGCAUUAGGUCUAGGGCAGAGGUUUCCCAUGAAAUUGUCUCCACUCAAAGGUAUACCAGGCCUUUGACCCUUGGUGGCUCCACUUUCAGCCCUGACCCUAAUAUGUGCCUCUGCAGAGAGACCAAUAGUUGCAGAUAAAGACCAGGAGCAGGACAGAGAGGCUCUGCAGAUCAAUGGAAGCCUUCAGAGUGACACCGAUCUGGCACCUGUGUCUAGCAACGACUUCACAGGAAAAAUUAGAAUACACUAAAGACAAAGACAAAGAGCUCAUCUCUCAAAACUAUGUAUUAGCUAAAUUGACAGAAAAUAACAGCCAGUGAAACAACCUGCAAAGGUGUGAUUUUCUCCCAGAUUAGUUCCAGGACUCAGAGUAUGUUGGGGAGGGGAGGGGGGAUCUAUCUGAGCCCCCCCCCCACUUUGGGGUGGAAUGUCUCCCAUCUUGUCAUCCUCUAAUGUUGAUCUAUAGGGAAAGGUGCCUCUGCCCUUUGCUGCUCGGAUUGAUGGUCCUGGACUCCACUGUUAUUGCCCCAGUUCCCUGAAAGGUCCCUUGAUUUAUUCCCUUUAUAUUAGAAAACCAUAUCUGCUCAUUAUCUGGGAAGGUCACUGGAAGGGAGAUAUUUCUUCCAGCUUCAAUAGCAGAUCACUUGGCCUUUUUUUCAUAUCUCUCUUGGCACAGCAGGAGCUCUGUGAGAAUAAGGGGAGGCCAGGACAAACAAUAAAAGCACAUUUGUUCCUAGGCAGGAAGCUCAGUGGAAGGACCUGGCAGGAUACAUAAAUACGCAAAGCAGGCUCAUUAGCUAGCAUCCUUGAUUUCUAUUUCAACUGUUAUUUCCAAAGCUAAUUAUUCCUGUUACUAGGAAGUCCUGCCUUAACAAAGAUGGCCGGAGACCACGAGUCACUGGAAAUGUUUUUGUAUUUUAGACUAGGCUUGAAUUUCCCAUUCUAGUCAUUUCCCAGCAGGGACCUAGGCUCAGCUAAUAUUUUUCAAGAUAUAUUUAAACAAGAUGUGACAUCAUACAAAAAAUGAUUUUCACAAGAAAAUUAUAUGUAUUUUACUUUUUGAUUACUUUUCCUUAUGUAUCCAGAUUAGUAGACUGCCUUUUCUUUUGUGCAUGUGUGAAAGUAUGUCUUUAGUUAGACACUAGAAGGGCCAUGCUGAGUAGACAAAACUAGAACUGCUUAGAUCAACAAAGUCAAUAUUUCCAACCCAUAACCAUUUUGAUGUUGCUAUACAUUCAUUCAGAGUCUCUCUCAAAAUAGUCUCAGAAUAGAACAGUCUUUAGGACCUACACAAGAAUCGCCUUGAGAGAUGGUUUAAAAUACAGUUUCCUUGGGAGAGAGGUUUGGGACUGGCAUAUGCACUAUGGUAUACAGAAUGGAUGAUCAAUGAGGACCUGCUGUAUAGCACAGGGAACUCUAUACUCAAUAUUCUGUAAUAACCUAUAUAGAAAAAGAAUAUGAAAGAGAAUGUAUAUGUGUAUAUGUAUAACUGAAUCACUGUGAUGUAGAGCAGCAAUAAACCUAACAUUGUAAAUACACUAUACUCGAUAAAAUUAAAAAAAAAGGUAGUUUCCUUGCGCCCACACCAGUCCUCAUGAGCCAGGCCUUUUAGAAGUAGAACCCAGGAAUCUGCAUUUUAAACACUCUUGAUUGAACCCACUAGGCUAUUCAGAUAACGCUCAAAUGUGUAGGCAGGUGUGGGGCCUGCAUCCACCGUGGCAGCAAUUCCCUCAUCCCACAACCUGACAGUAGGGGGAGCUCUCCUGCCAGAAGCCAGGGCUUUGUAGAAGAAAACUAGCUCCAGAGUUCUGAGACUAUGUGAGUUUACAAGAAAGCACUGUAGCUCCUUGGGGAGUUACAGUUUUGAUGAUAACCUUGAACCUCCUGAGUUCCCCCUAAAGACUCAAUCAAAGAAGCACUCUUCCUUCCUUUCAUUUUAACAAAAGUUGGGUCAAGAAAUAAAUGCAAUAUCAAU